rnacentral:rRNA from 1 species
UGAAAAAUUUNGUUUGGGGUGGCAGUUGCAUGCAACAUGUGCCUUCUGCCAAUUCGGUCCUGUGCGAGCUCACAAUCCCACUCUCGGCGUAAAAGUUGGUCAUCUAUCCGACCCGUCUUGAAACACGGACCAAGGAGUUUAUCGUGUGCGCAAGUCAUUGGGUGUUGAAAACUCAAAGGCGCAAUGAAAGUAAAGAAUCCGCAAGGAUACGACGUGUGAUCUGAGCAAUCACGAUUGCCUGGAGCAACAUGGCCCCAUUCUGGUCGCUUGCGACGGGGUGGAGGAAGAGCGUACGCGGUGAGACCCGAAAGAUGGUGAACUAUUCCUGAGCAGGAUGAAGCCAGAGGAAAGCUCUGGUGGAAGUCCGAAGCGAUUCUGACGUGCAAAUCGAUCGUCUGACCUUGGGAUAGGGCNAAAUAUUCCCCGAAAC